CGGCCGUAACACACUCGACGAGGUACUUCAGAUCCUCGCGGACAUUGUCCUUCACCUCGAGAUGUACGGUGAUGCGUUCCGACCCGAAGAACGGCUGGUUGUUGAGCGGCUCCGGCCCAGUGGCCCUCACGUCGACGCCAUGCCUUACGCAACAGGGCAUGAGCACAUCCUUCGCGAGGCUGCGCGCAGAGUAGCCCUUGUGCCCGGACUUCACGCUGAGGGCGAGCGCAUCAACCAUACGGUUGGUCGCCUUGGCGAGGAGAGCGGUGCCAAGCACAGGCGUGAACGUCACGCUCUUCGAUUCACCCACCCGUCGCGUUCGCUCCAGCCAUUCCUCUGGAAGCUCG
rnacentral:misc_RNA from 1 species